CCUACGGGAGGCUGCAGUGGGGAAUAUUGCACAAUGGGGGCAACUCUGAUCCAGCGACGCCGCGUGAGCGAUGAAGGAUUUCGGUAUUUAAAGCUCUAUCAGCAGGGAAGAAGAUGACGGUACCUGACUAAUAAUCCACGUCUAACUACGUUCCAGCAGCCGCGGUAAUACGUAGGUGGCAAGCGUUGUCCGGAUUUACUGGGUGUAAAGGGCGUGUAGCCGGGAAGGCAAGUCAGAUGUGAACUCUGGAGGCUCAACCUCCAAAUUGCAUUUGAAACUGUUGUUCUUGAGUACUGCAGAGGCAGACGGAAUUCCUUGUGUAGCGGUGAAAUGCGUAGAUAUAAGGAGGAACACCAGUGGCGAAGGCGGUCUGCUGGACAGCAACUGACGGUGAGGCGCGAAAGCGUGGGGAGCAAACAGGAUUAGAUAUCCGGGUAGUC
rnacentral:rRNA from 1 species